rnacentral:lncRNA from 1 species
GCCAUUCUCAGCAUAGCUUUUAUUUGAAGCCUCUAGUUUUCACAGUGGAGUGGCUAAAAGAGGUAAGUUCUUUGAGGGUUGUGCAAGAAGGUCACCCACUCCAUAGUGAAUGGUUAUUUGCUGGCUGCUUCUCACACUGUUGCAAUUGUGAUCCUUUUGCAUCUUUGAUUGUCUUUCAUCGGAAAACUAUGACAUGCUUCAUUUUGUUUCCCAGGGUGGUAGCCACAGUCGGCGGUCAGUUGGCGAGCUGGCUACAUUCGAUGGUAUGCAAACAACUCGGUGGCAGCUUAAAGGGUGGGGUAGGCAGUGUGGCCCUCAAUGUG